AGCGUGGUUGCAAUGCUGCUCAGGGUCUUGUUUGCGCUCACAGUGGCCAGUAGGCACAGGAGAAGCACGUUUGACGCCAACAUGAUUUUAGAGCUACUGUAUAAAUGGCAUCUGUUACUCACCUCUCAGAGCUCCUGAAAAACCUCUCUACAACCUCUCGGAUAUGCCGACGUGCCCACCACCAAAUCCUUCACGUAGACUUUAUAGAUGGGAAAAGAAACUUCUGGAAGUUAAGAAAGGAGUAUUAGAAUGGUUGUCGUUGUCUGUGAGAACCUCCCCCCAGAUCCAGUUACUGUGAGAACUGGACUCUCUCUCCUCAAGGUCCUAAAGGUAGCAGCAAAUGACCAACAUUUCCUGCAAACACAAAUGACUUCAAAAGCACACAACAAAAAAUGCUGGCUUAUUUCAAGAUAAAUUUGAGUAAAAUAUGGUCAAACUCAAUGGUUGGGUUACAUUUGUGUUAAAAUUUGUACAUACAGUAGCCAAAUCUGGGUUGAAAUAGUGUGUAUGAAAAAAGGUGGAUGUAGGCCUAAACAUCAGAAAUCAUAAUAUCUUAGAAUAAAACUACAUUUAAUUCAGUCUCAAA